UCAUAAGGUGGGACAAUCUUUUCCUCUUCUCCCUUUUGGAGGAUAGAUUAUAACACGAUUAUUGGAGAUCCAUGAAACAUUAUCAACAUCGAUGCAAAAUCAGGACUUAAAACAUCCUGAUUACUCCUAUCUAAU
ensembl:snoRNA U8 U8 small nucleolar RNA